rnacentral:rRNA from 1 species
GAGACCCACGCCAACAGUUGCCAGCAUGUCCUCCGGGAUGGUGGGGACACUGUUGGGACCGCCUCUGCUAAAGAGGAGGAAGGAAUGGGCAACGGUAGGUCAGCAUGCCCCGAAUUAUCCGGGCUACACGCGGACUACAAUGGUCAGGACAAUGGGUAUCGACACCGAGAGGUGAAGGCAAUCUCUUAAACCUGUCCUUAGUUCGGAUUGUGGGCUGCAACUCGCCCACAUGAAGCUGGAAUCCGUAGUAAUCGCGUCUCAAAAUGGCGCGGUGAAUAU